UGCCAUGAGGUGGUAUGAUGGAGCUGCCUAUUUCUUUAAGGGGAAGGAUUACUGGAAAGUGACACACAGUAACAUGCAAGUGGACCCUGGGUAUCCGAAGUCCGUGGCCAGGGAUUGGCUGGUGUGCAGCGAGAUGCAGGCGGACUCAUCGAUUUCCGAGCACACCCGUUCCAGAGCCCGAACGGGUCGGGGUCAUCAUGAUGAAAGCCAGUCGGGAGAUGAGAAAAGGAAUUGCUCCUGUACAUCUAAGGCUGGGAUGCCUCGAGCCGCCAUUGCAUUGAGCUGGAAGGUGAAGCUGGCUGUUAGUUCUGUGGUGUUAGCCUGGCUGGGGUUGGAUUAAUGGACUGCAUCAACUUCAACAGCAGCAGCUUCAUGAGGCAGCAUUGACUAUAUCAGAGUCAAUCGUCAUUGACUCACCAGGAGGAGGCUGGGUCAUUACUUAACCUCCACUUAACCAAAACAGAACGCUGUGCCAAGUCCAACUGGAACUUUUCACUCUGCGUGGAUUCAUGGUGAAUCAGCAUUUUUUAAAAAGAAAAUGAAGGAAUUUCAUGGAGAGUGUUCUUUAUCAUUGAAGAAAGUCCAAACAAUUUAUUUUUUUAACACAAAAAAUACAGAGUAGUUGUGAGGACCUUUGUAUGGCUAUGAUUAAGAAGAGUUUACUGGCAUUUGUUUUCUCAGUAUUAUAAAAUCAGGUGUUAAUCAAUGUUAUUCAUAUUUAUUUCGAUACGUUUUCAUUCACUUUUCCUUUGGCACUCAAAGCUGUUUUAAACAAUGUUGCCUGUCAGCAGACGAUGUGCUCUCUCCCCGAACACACCCAGACCUGGCUGACUGACUGGAUGCUGUGGUGAGAUUUCACUGGCAAGCAAUGUUAAUGAAUCCUAACUGAGACCAAGGCCUGCUUACUAACCUACAUUAGCUCCUGCCUGGUAAUGCCUCAAUGUUAGAACAGACGUAUAUAGGAAAUAGAAGCAGGUGGAUUACUUAGGGUAUAUGGGCACAGAAAGAGGCCAUUUGGCCCAACCAGUCCUUGCCAAUGUUUAAACCCACUUGAGCCCCCUUCCAUCAUUCCUCACUUAAAUCUAUCAACGCGGCUUGUCCAGCUUAACCCUUAAAGCAUCCAUUUGCCUUAAUUGUUCCUACCAUUUCCCUCUUAACCAUCGUGCUUCCUACAUCAUCAAAGGGCUCCAAUAAAUUUGUCAGACACAAUUUCCCUUUCACAAAACCGUGUCGACUCUGUCUGAUUAAAUUACCACUUUCAAAGUGUCCCAUUUCCUUAAUAAUAAACUCAAACAUUAAUUCAAUGGCAAAUAUUCGGCAAACUGUUCUCUGUUGUUUGUCUCCCUCCUUUCUUGAAUAGAGGUGUUACAUUUACAGUUUUCCAAUCUACAGAGUCUUUUUCAGAAUCUAGAGAUCUUUGGAAGAUUAUAACCAAUGCAUUCACAAAUUACUUUAAGAACCUAGGACACAGGUCAUCAUAUUGAGGGAACCCGUUAAUUUUCAGUCCCAGGAAGAGCCUGAGGCUACUUUGAUGGUGACAAUGGCCAUUUUGGGUUUCUUGCUCUCUUCAUCCCUCUAACAUUCUGCUACUGAUGGAAUAGAUUUACUGUCUUGUCCACAGUCUCCGCCAUUUUCUUGCUUCCAUUUUUAAUUCCUCUCAACCUUACUUUGGAUGCUCUCUUUCAUAUAUACAAGUAGAAGCUCUUACUGCCUGUUUUUAUAUUUCUUGCUAGCUUACUCUCACAGUCUCAUGUCCCCUCCAUAUUUUUAGUUAUCCUUUGCUGGUUUCAGGAGUAUUCCCAAUCUCUGACCUACCAGUAAUCUUCACAACACUACAUGUUUUUUCUGUCAAUUUGAUGCCAUUCUUAACUUGCUCAAUUAAGAAAUUUCUAAUAAUCUUUGAUAUGUUGUCACUGUUCCUCCUUGCAGAUGUCCAAUAGGAAGGAAUUGAGAGUCUGAAACUGAUUCUCAAGAAGCUUUUCAAUAAAAUAAGUUCUCAGGAUAUGUAUUUCAGAACCUUGACAAUGUCUCCUUGACUCAUGUUAGUCCAUCCUAUUCUCUAUCUGAUUUUAUUCUUUGUCACAGUUUGAUACUGUUUAGGAGACAGCUUAAGGGUUAAUCAAAUUGGUGUGAGACUGGAGUCACAUGUUGGCUAGAUUGGUUAAGAAGGGGAGGUAAAGGACGCACCUGAACCAGUUAGGACUUUGAAAAGGUAGCGACAGUAAGAAGGAUGGUUUUGGAUGAGAGCAGGAUAUGGACAGGCAGAUCAGUGGCAGAUGAAAUUUAAUCCUGAUCGAUGUAAGGUGAUAUACUUUGGAAGAAGUAACCAGACAAGGGAGCACUCAGUGAAUGACAGGAAAGUAAGAAGCUCAGAGGGAACAGAGGAAUCUGAGGCUGUUUCUCCACAGAUAUCUGAAGCAGGCAAAUGAAAUGCUUGCCUUAGUCAGUCAUGCUAUAGAUUAUAAGAGCAGGGAGGUUAUGUUGGAAUUGGACAGGUGUUUGGUUAGGUCAGAAUUGGAGUACUGUGUGCAGUUCUGGUUCCCAUGCUGUUUGAAGGAUGUUGAAUUGAAUUAGUUUUAUUGUCACAUAGACUCAAAUGAAUGCAGUGAAAAGUUUUCAGAUACUUUAGAUCAAAUUCAUAAGAAACAAAAGAAAAUUAGAAAAGUGAAGAAAUAAAUUAUAGGUGACAGGAAUAAAUUAGAAAAAUAACAUGUUCAGAAUAUCCAUCUUUCCAACCCAGUCCCUGCCAGACCCUAGUCUCAUGAAGAUCUCCACUACCAGCACCUCACCUCCACCUGCACUGGACCCUCCAACGUAGGAGUCGCCCCACUUUAGGCGUUAUCUCUUCACUGCUGGGUCCACAACACAGAUUCCCCGGGUCCUUUGCCAGGCCAGGCCACUACUAGGCAACAAGUCCCACUUUGGCUGUAGAUGUCACGCUGCCAGCACCGCCAUCUUGAAGAGACACCUGCCGCCUAAACAAAAGACCAAAAGAGAAGGAAAUAAAGCGAAAGAGCAGAAGCAAAACUAAAACAAAGAAGGAGAGCAGAUGGGAGUGCACAGGCCACAGGCGAGAGAUCACACGCAGCCCUGGAACUCUGCUGCCAUCUUGCCCUGAAGGGAAUACAGAGGAGAUUCACCAGGAUACAGACUGGGAUGGAGCAUCUUAGCGAUGGAGGGAGGCUGGAUAAGCUCAGGCUGUUUUCUUCAGAGCAGAGAAGGCUGAGGGGGAGCCCUGAAAGUGGUG